rnacentral:rRNA from 1 species
GAUGAACGCUGGCGGCGUGCCUAAUACAUGCAAGUCGAGCGAACAGACGAGGAGCUUGCUCCUCUGACGUUAGCGGCGGACGGGUGAGUAACACGUGGAUAACCUACCUAUAAGACUGGGAUAACUUCGGGAAACCGGAGCUAAUACCGGAUAAUAUAUUGAACCGCAUGGUUCAAUAGUGAAAGACGGUUUUGCUGUCACUUAUAGAUGGAUCCGCGCCGCAUUAGCUAGUUGGUAAGGUAACGGCUUACCAAGGCAACGAUGCGUAGCCGACCUGAGAGGGUGAUCGGCCACACUGGAACUGAGACACGGUCCAGACUCCUACGGGAGGCAGCAGUAGGGAAUCUUCCGCAAUGGGCGAAAGCCUGACGGAGCAACGCCGCGUGAGUGAUGAAGGUUUUCGGAUCGUAAAACUCUGUUAUUAGGGAAGAACAAAUGUGUAAGUAACUAUGCACGUCUUGACGGUACCUAAUCAGAAAGCCACGGCUAACUACGUG